rnacentral:lncRNA from 1 species
UGGACUUUGUCGGAAUGACAUAAUCGAGUCCAGAAAAGUUUGACAAAAGUAGAGAAGAAGAAUAAGCAACGUACAAGUUUUAUCUAAGAACACACACAUAUAUAUUUAAUUAAUAUAAAGACAGUGUUUUUUUGACUUUUUAAAGACGUGCAGAUGAUCACGUGGUAAGGUUUAACUUAUUAAGAUUUACACAUUGGGCUAUAUGGACUCCAUAUUCAAAUUGUUUUUCCAACG